AUCCCAUGACGAGGACAGAUGGCGACAUACUCCUCCAAGUGUUCCCAUGCUUCAGGAAUCGACUCAUCCCUUGUCUGCUAGAAGCUGGAAAUUCUUCCGUUAAGGUU
rnacentral:snoRNA from 1 species